CUACAGGCUUAACACAUGCAAGUCGAGGGGAAACGAUAUUGGAAGCUUGCUUCCGAUAGGCGUCGACCGGCGCACGGGUGAGUAACGCGUAUCCAACCUGCCCACCACUUGGGGAUAACCUUGCGAAAGUAAGACUAAUACCCAAUGAUAUCUCUAGAAGACAUCUGAAAGAGAUUAAAGAUUUAUCGGUGAUGGAUGGGGAUGCGUCUGAUUAGCUUGUUGGCGGGGUAACGGCCCACCAAGGCAACGAUCAGUAGGGGUUCUGAGAGGAAGGUCCCCCACAUUGGAACUGAGACACGGUCCAAACUCCUACGGGAGGCAGCAGUGAGGAAUAUUGGUCAAUGGACGAGAGUCUGAACCAGCCAAGUAGCGUGCAGGAAGACGGCCCUAUGGGUUGUAAACUGCUUUUAUAAGGGAAUAAAGUGAGUCUCGUGAGACUUUUUGCAUGUACCUUAUGAAUAAGGACCGGCUAAUUCCGUGCCAGCAGCCGCGGUAAUACGGAAGGUCCGGGCGUUAUCCGGAUUUAUUGGGUUUAAAGGGAGCGUAGGCCGGAGAUUAAGCGUGUUGUGAAAUGUAGACGCUCAACGUCUGCACUGCAGCGCGAACUGGUUUCCUUGAGUACGCACAAAGUGGGCGGAAUUCGUGGUGUAGCGGUGAAAUGCUUAGAUAUCACGAAGAGCUCCGAUUGCGAAGGCAGCUCACUGGAGCGCAACUGACGCUGAAGCUCGAAAGUGCGGGUAUCGAACAGGAUUAGAUACCCUGGUAGUCCGCACGGUAAACGAUGGAUGCCCGCUGUUGGUCUGUAUAGGUCAGCGGCCAAGCGAAAGCAUUAAGCAUCCCACCUGGGGAGUACGCCGGCAACGGUGAAACUCAAAGGAAUUGACGGGGGCCCGCACAAGCGGAGGAACAUGUGGUUUAAUUCGAUGAUACGCGAGGAACCUUACCCGGGCUUGAAUUGCAGAGGAAGGAUUUGGAGACAAUGACGCCCUUCGGGGCCUCUGUGAAGGUGCUGCAUGGUUGUCGUCAGCUCGUGCCGUGAGGUGUCGGCUUAAGUGCCAUAACGAGCGCAACCCCUCUCCUUAGUUGCCAUCAGGUCAAGCUGGGCACUCUGGGGACACUGCCACCGUAAGGUGUGAGGAAGGUGGGGAUG
rnacentral:rRNA from 1 species